CUCUGAAUUCCUUCCACUUGGAUGGCGGCCUCCCUAUCUCCACACAGCCCAGGAUUUAAAUUUAAGCUUAAGUAACAGCUUCUAUAAAUAGAUCCUUUUUUUUUAUUCCUUUCUAAAAUCAUCUCCCAAGCCCAUAUGACUCAGUGACUCUUAAGGUAACUAAGUAUUAUCCAAGAGUCUCCGGAGAAGCUAACUGCACUUAGAAUUCUAGACAAGAAUACGUGUGUCUCGACUCGAUGUAAGAUAAAGUUGAUUCUGAAGGGUUAAAGCCGUUUUGAGAAUCAGUCAGGAAGCUGGACGACUGACUUCUGUGCUGUGACAAAUAUAUUGGUAUAUCAAAUAUUUCACACAUUUCCAAUAGUUUCUGACAAAGCAACAUCGGUGUCUGCCUCAGACAAAACAAGAGAUUGCAACAGUCUCCAUUCCAAACUUGCUUAGCUCAACACGUAUGAUAAACAGGAUAGGUGCCUGCCAGGAUUCUGCGGAAGGCUCUCCGGUGGCUUUGGUACUAUAUGACACAUCGUCCCCAAAAGUGGGAAAGAAACACUCUCACACAGAGGCAAUGUUAUUUAGCCCAUCCAGCCAAGUUCCUGCUCUUGGGAAUCUGAGCUAGUGAAUUCUGGGGGAAGGGAGGAGGAAGUCAUAGGGAUGAUAAAGGAAAUUGAAUCUGCAAGGUGGAAAGAAGCUAAGGAGAGAAACGGAGUGGCAGGCACCAGAAUGGAAGCCCCAAAUCUCUGCAGACAAAGUGCAUGGAUCCAGACCAGUCCAGCACUGACACUGUGUCCGGGUGUCUUGUUCUCAUCACUGACACUGGGUAAAUCUCCACCUUCAAGCUGGUAUGAGUGAGAUUAAAAAUGGUCUUCAGAAAAAUAGGCUUUAGGAAAACAUCAGUCAGAGCAGUAGUAAUAAUGAUCUUAAUUCCUUAAAAACAAAUCUAAAGUCUUCUGAGUUUUCAAAAGUCAAGGGAGUGCUUUCACUUGGAUUAUAAAAUCUAGGUGAUAAGACAGUAUGAAUCACAGCAAGAGUAAUUACAGUGAGGAAAAGCCGUCUGCUUGGGAAUUACACAGCCUUCCCAACGAAGCGUCCAUAGCUACACGCACUGCUUGAAAAGGCUCCAUGUAAUUUACGCCAGAAACAGCUCGUGCAAUUCUGUUGUUUUCUUUUGUUUGCAGUAUUGUGAAAGUAUACUAAGUGUUGUUACCUUAAUGAUUAGGCUGAAAACCCUUCUAUUAAAAAUAUCUCCGUUCCUUCUAUUAAAACAUAAAAUAAUACUGCCAUUAACAGAGUCUAAGUACAUUUUCAUAAAGUAUCAUGAAAGAGAAAUGACAAAGAUUACCUUGUCUUUUUCUUCGAGAUAGUAUUGUUUAUUUAUUGCAGAGUUAGGGUCUUUUUGGAUCACUGUGAGCACAGGAGAUGAGAGGGUUUCCAUCAAAAGAUGAGAGGGUUAUCUUACCAAAACGUACAAAGAAAACUUCAUGCUGACAGCUUACUUAAUACCUUGAGUAUGGGUACAUCUUUAUGAACUUUAAAAGACCAAACAGCUCUCGGUCCAACUCUACCUCUAAAUCAAACUCUAUUUUCUAAAGGAAGUAAUGUUUUUUUCAAAUUAGGAAGGUCGGGACUGGAAAGCUGACUCAGCAGUUAAGAACACUGGUUGCUCUUCCAGAGGAUCAGAGUCCAUUCCCAACACCGACACAGCAGCUUACAACUGUCUCUCACUGUAGUUCCAGAAUGUCUGACACCUUCACACCAAUGCACGUAAAAAUGAAAUCAAAUACAUUUAUAUAUAUAUAAUAUAUAUAAUUUAUAAUAAUAUAAUAUAUGUAA